UUGAACGCUGGCGGCAGGCCUAACACAUGCAAGUCGAACGGUAACAGGAAGAAGCUUGCUUCUUUGCUGACGAGUGGCGGACGGGUGAGUAAUGUCUGGGAAACUGCCUGAUGGAGGGGGAUAACUACUGGAAACGGUAGCUAAUACCGCAUAACGUCGCAAGACCAAAGAGGGGGACCUUCGGGCCUCUUGCCAUCGGAUGUGCCCAGAUGGGAUUAGCUAGUGGGUGGGGUAACGGCUCACCUAGGCGACGAUCCCUAGCUGGUCUGAGAGGAUGACCAGCCACACUGGAACUGAGACACGGUCCAGACUCCUACGGGAGGCAGCAGUGGGGAAUAUUGCACAAUGGGCGCAAGCCUGAUGCAGCCAUGCCGCGUGUAUGAAGAAGGCCUUCGGGUUGUAAAGUACUUUCAGCGGGGAGGAAGGGAGUAAAGUUAAUACCUUUGCUCAUUGACGUUACCCGCAGAAGAAGCACCGGCUAACUCCGUG
rnacentral:rRNA from 1 species